ACCUACGGGGCGCAGCAGUGGGGAAUAUUGGGCAAUGGGCGCAAGCCUGACCCAGCAACGCCGCGUGAAGGAAGAAGGCCCUCGGGUUGUAAACUUCUUUUGUCAGGGACGGAGAAAGUGACGGUACCUGACGAAUAAGCCACGGCUAACUACGUGCCAGCAGCCGCGGUAAUGCGUAGGUGGCAAGCGUUAUCCGGAUUUACUGGGUGUAAAGGGGGCGCAGACGGCGAUGCAAGCCAGGAGUGAAAGCCCGGGGCCCAACCCCGGGACUGCUCUUGGAACUGCGUGGCUGGAGUGCAGGAGGG
rnacentral:rRNA from 1 species